AUUGAACGCUGGCGGCAGGCCUAACACAUGCAAGUCGAACGGUAACAGGAAGAAGCUUGCUUCUUUGCUGACGAGUGGCGGACGGGUGAGUAAUGUCUGGGAAACUGCCUGAUGGAGGGGGAUAACUACUGGAAACGGUAGCUAAUACCGCAUAACGUCGCAAGACCAAAAAGGGGGACCUUCGGGCCUCUUGCCAUCGGAUGUGCCCAGAUGGGAUUAGCUAGUAGGUGGGGUAACGGCUCACCUAGGCGACGAUCCCUAGCUGGUCUGAGAGGAUGACCAGCCACACUGGAACUGAGACACGGUCCAGACUCCUACGGGAGGCAGCAGUGGGGAAUAUUGCACAAUGGGCGCAAGCCUGAUGCAGCCAUGCCGCGUGUAUGAAGAAGGCCUUCGGGUUGUAAAGUACUUUCAGCGGGGAGGAAGGGAGUAAAGUUAAUACCUUUGCUCAUUGACGUUACCCGCAGAAGGAGCACCGGCUAACUCCGU
rnacentral:rRNA from 1 species